GUAGGUGAACCUGCGGAAGGAUCAUUACAACGUAUCCACGUACCAAACUCGUGCACUGUUUCCCUCUAGAGUAAACAACCCGUGGUUGAGGUCAAUGGGCGAUUGGUUUCCACUGAUGGAGUUCUCUCUCGGAGAACUGGAUAGCUUUCGUCCGCCGAAUGUGCUGGUCUCCGGACCGGUGCAGGAGGGACUUCGUUUGCUCUACUGCGGUUUUGCGACCGUCAGCGCUAGUUUUACCUUUAUUAACCCU
rnacentral:misc_RNA from 1 species